AUUUCAGUUCUGUGUAAUCAGUGAGCGGAUUAUUUUAAUUUGGCCCAGUCUCUCUUUCUUUUUCCAGACCCUAACUAGAGGCAAUUCUGUCUCUAUCUAGAUCGCCUAAUAAUGUCCAGUUUGGUGAGCAAAUAUUGGGCUAGUGAGAAGUCCUCUGCGGAAAGUCCAGCUUUUCAAAGGGCACUGGUGACAGUUUUCAAUUCAAUUAAACAAAUACGGUCUGAGUAACUAUUAUGGGCAAAGCACACCCAGACCUAGCGAAGCCCAGACCCAGUUACUAAAGGGGAGAAACAACGGACUAGCCCUCUCAACUUGAGAAGCUUGUAAGCAGACACCUCCUGUGGUUCAGACUCUCCUGUGAUGUGUUAACAGCCAACAGUUGAAUGGCACUCUGCAUACGCAGGAGUAACACGAUCGCCCUCGCCUUGGCUUUGGUCAGCGGGAAGGACUUUAUGUAUGAGUCAUACAAAUGCUUUGCCAGGGCCCGGAGAUCAGCAGACUCGGGGUUCAGCUGGUCGAUAUCACUGGAGAUCUCGGCCAACAGCUUCUCCUUCUCGGCCUGUGGCAUCCGCCCAAACCUGAUGGCUGUAGAGGAAGAGGAAUGACAGGAUGAAUCACUGAAUUACUACUGCUCCUGGGGCCUCUGUUCCCUCCCUGGCCCGAGUUCCCACCGGGUCAGAGCCUCUCCCCUCACUACUCAUCUCAGAAAGUGGUUUCCCUCUACCACUUUCCUCAUGUUUGUAUUUCGUGACCGUAGCCCCGAUGAUCAGUAAAAACUUAAACUGUUCACAUCUUUAAUUAAAAAAGAAAAAAAUAUAUAUAUGUAAUACAUGAUCCUGCCAGGAAAGUCAAAAAGUUUGUUUAGCCCAGGGAAGAAAAUUUAAACAUGAAAUGAUUGGGAGCCAACUCCUAUCCAUCCCUCAAGACCCCGUUUAAAUGUCAUUUUCUUUGGGAGGCUUUUAAGGGCAGCGAAUGAUUCUUUCCCGUGGACUCCACUGGCCCUUGGUAUAUACUCCAAUGAGAGCAAUUUUCACAUUGUGCCAGAAUCAUUAAAUUUACACGCCUAUUUAUCCCACUAUAGAACAAUGUCCUGAAGGCCAGAGAUAGUGUCUUAUUUAUUUUUGUGUCCCCAGGAUGAUCUGCACGUUUCAUGAACUAAAGUAAGGAACUGCGCAGGAUUCAAAGUAGCACAAACAGAGGCUUUGUUCUCAGGGAUUCUGGAGGAUCUGGUUUGCUCCUGUUAACCCAGAGAUACAGACGGUGCUUUAUUUCACUUACCAGGACAGACCGGGCUUUGGCACUUAGUAGGGAGACGUUGAACUUAUUCCCUGAUCAUGAACCCUGUAAUGCUUUGUCAGAAAGACAAUAUCCUAAAAUUUGGCGUCUCGGGGGGUGAGGAGGUGUGAAACCAGAAGGAAAAGAAAGAAGGGCCAGGAAGAACAGUUAAGAGAGGUCAGCAAGCCCUAAGGAGGGGGAAAAAAUAAUCCGCUGGGGCUGGGAGUGUGGCUCAGUGGUAAGCGCUUGCGGAGCAUGUGUGAGGCCCUGGGUUCCAUCCCCAGUUUCUGGUGGUGGGGGGGAAUUGUGGCAUGAAUCUUGGGAAAAAUCACACUUAUUAUAUAAUGAAAUAGAGGUGGCUAAAUCACCACUGUCUGAUUUCAAAGACCCCUAAAUACCGUCUCUUCCCAGAUGCCUAAUGAUUGAGCGUGCCAGGCACUGUUCUAAGCUUUUUGUAAAUUUUUACAGAUAAGAAACUAUAAAUAUACAUAGAUGUUUACAUGCCUAGGAAAGCAUUUCCUUUUUUCCUAGUGGACAAUUUAAAAAGCUUUCAAUAGCCAAAGAUAGCCACUUACUGCGCUUAUUAUGCUGAUAGUCCUGCUUUCUCAUACCUAACAAAAAUAUCCAAAAAUCACUUAAACUUUAAAAAGUCUUUUUUUUUUCUUUAAACUCCUGGGAUUCCAGGGGAAUUCUACCCUUGGGGCUGUAUCCCCAGUCCUUUUUAUUUUUGUUUUGAGACAGGGUCUCUCGUGCAGUUGCUCAGGCUGGCCUUGAACUUGUGAUUCUCCUGCCUCACCCUCUUGAGUCGACAGCCCUAUACCUCUGUGCCCGCCUGAAAAUUAUUUUUAAUCAUGAGAUAUUAAAGCAAGCUAUUUCUCCUAGAAUCUAAAUACAAUGUGAAUUUUCACAAAUAAAGUUCCCAAAAGGCCUAAGUCUUUCUUUUUUUUUUUUUUUUCUCCUUUUUCUGAGACAGGGUAUUGCUAACUUGUCCAGGCUGGCCUCCAACUUGGGAUCCUCCUAGAAAAGGCUGAAUCUUCUGAAACAAUUAUUUGUAUUGUUAAAUGUCUAUGCUACACAUUAGGUCUAGCUGUAAGUGCGACUAGUUAAUGUAGGCGAUUUUAGUAUUUUUAUACAUUGGAGGCUCAGAAAAGGGAUGAAAAAAAUAUAUCUUAUUUGGUGGGACUGAAUUUGCAUACAACAUACAGAAAUCUGAAGUUACAGAGGUAAUAAAAACUUUCAUUUA